GGAGGGGGAUAACUACUGGAAACGGUAGCUAAUACCGCAUAACGUCGCAAGACCAAAGAGGGGGACCUUCGGGCCUCUUGCCAUCGGAUGUGCCCAGAUGGGAUUAGCUUGUAGGUGAGGUAACGGCUCACCUAGGCGACGAUCCCUAGCUGGUCUGAGAGGAUGACCAGCCACACUGGAACUGAGACACGGUCCAGACUCCUACGGGAGGCAGCAGUGGGGAAUAUUGCACAAUGGGCGCAAGCCUGAUGCAGCCAUGCCGCGUGUAUAAAGGAGGCCUUCGGGUUGUAAAGUACUUUCAGCGGGGAGGAAGGGAGUGAGGUUAAUAACCUCAUUCAUUGACGUUACCCGCAGAAGAAGCACCGGCUAACUCCGUGCCAGCAGCCGCGGUAAUACGGAGGGUGCGAGCGUUAAUCGGAAUUACUGGGCGUAAAGCGCACGCAGGCGGUCUGUCAAGUCGGAUGUGAAAUCCCCGGGCUCAACCUGGGAACUGCAUUCGAAACUGGCAGGCUGGAGUCUUGUAGAGGGGGGUAGAAUUCCAGGUGUAGCGGUGAAAUGCGUAGAGAUCUGGAGGAAUACCGGUGGCGAAGGCGGCCCCCUGGACAAAGACUGACGCUCAGGUGCGAAAGCGUGGGGAGCAAACAGGAUUAGAUACCCUGGUAGUCCACGCUGUAAACGAUGUCGACUUGGAGGUUGUUCCCUUGAGGAGUGGCUUCCGGAGCUA
rnacentral:rRNA from 1 species